rnacentral:rRNA from 1 species
GACGUAGGGCGCGAGCGUUGUCCGGAUUUAUUGGGCGUAAAGAGCUCGUAGGCGGCUUGUCGCGUCGACUGUGAAAUCCCGCGGCUCAACUGCGGGUCUGCAGUCGAUACGGGCAGGCUAGAGUUCGGUAGGGGAGACUGGAAUUCCUGGUGUAGCGGUGAAAUGCGCAGAUAUCAGGAGGAACACCGGUGGCGAAGGCGGGUCUCUGGGCCGAUACUGACGCUGAGGAGCGAAAGCGUGGGGAGCGAAACAGG